rnacentral:misc_RNA from 1 species
GAAAUGCGAUAAUUAAUGUGAAUUGCAGAAUUCAGUGAAUCAUCGAGUCUUUGAACGCACAUUGCGCCCCCUGGUAUUCCGGGGGGCAUGCCUGUCCGAGCGUCAUUGCUGCCCUCAAGCACGGCUUGUGUGUUGGGCUUCCGUCCCUGGCAACGGGGACGGGCCCAAAAGGCAGUGGCGGCACCAUUUCUGGUCCUCGAGCGUAUGGGGCUUUGUCACCCGCUCCCGUAGGUCCAGCUGGCAGCUAGCCUCGCAACCAAUCUUUUUAACCAGGUUGACCUCGGAUCAGGUAGGGAUACCCGCUGAACUUAAGC